UACGUAGGGUGCAAGCGUUAAUCGGAAUUACUGGGCGUAAAGCGUGCGCAGGCGGCUGUGCAAGACAGAUGUGAAAUCCCCGGGCCCAACCUGGGAACUGCAUUUGUGACUGCACGGCUAGAGUACGGCAGAGGGGGAUGGAAUUCCGCGUGUAGCAGUGAAAUGCGUAGAUAUGCGGAGGAACACCGAUGGCGAAGGCAAUCCCCUGGGCCUGUACUGACGCUCAUGCACGAAAGCGUGGGGAGCAAACAGG
rnacentral:rRNA from 1 species